GAGUUUCUUCAUUUGCCUGGGAAGAGGUUCUACGAUUUCUCUGAUAUUCGUAGGGAAAUUCAGGUAAUUCUUCAUCGUUUCACUCAAUGCUUUUCUUUUUCGUGCUAGAUUUUGCUCAAUUAAUAAAUAGUUUGUAGCUUUAAAUAGAACUGUAAAAUCUAAUUAGUGCUGCUUAAUUUAUUAUUUUCCCUCUAGUUUAGGAUUCUGGACACUGAUCAUUAUUUGAGAAAAUGACAUAUUGAAUGUAAUCACAUUUGUCGGUGUCGAACAGUGACACAUGUCUACCUUCGGAGUGUUGGUGUUAAAGGAGAUUUUAAUCAACUAGUAUUUGUUUCAUUGCUAUUUUUUUAACUUUGAAAGAGAAAUUAAGAGAAUCAAAGGCAAAGUAUUUGAAAUUAGUCAGAUUACAAAAGCGAUAAUGUAGAUACAUUUAAAUUCUAAAAUUAUAUAGUUAUGAGAACUUGGAUGGGACUAAUUUAAGAGAUAGUUAUCACUGGGAGUGCAUGUUUUUUUUUAACACGUGAAUUCUUGUUUUAGAAAGAAUAUGUGACACGUUGAGUCGGAAAGUAGAUUAUGAUACGUCCUCACUCAUUGUGUUAGAAUUGUUGUGAAAUUCCUAUCUGUUGCUUUUAGAAGCUACAUGUGAAAAAUUUAUGAACCUAUCUACAGUUUAGCCAUUGCUGUUGUGUCGAUCUCAUAUUUUCCAUAUUUGGGACAAUUUAUUAUGUUUCCGCCCUUAGAUCUGUUCAGCGGUAAGAAUAGGAAAAAAGCAUGAGGUGAUUCGGUUCAUGAGCAGACUUGUAGAUUAUAAAUGAAUUGGAAUAUUUGAAUUCUUAGGAAUUCUAGCCCUCGUUUGAACUUUUAAGUAAUUCCUUACCUCAAAUAGUAUUUCCUUCCUAGAGAUCUAGAGUUUUCUUACUUAUAUUGAUGGAUGAGUUGGUGGUGAUCAUUUAGUUCAUAAAUCAUAACCUUGGAGAAGUGUAAUUGUCCAGAUUAUUUAGUCAGUCAAAGUUAAGUGCAUCCAUGCUAAGAGGAUAGUUUGCGAUCAUCUAGCUUACAACCUUGCCUACCUGCUUGUUUGAUAUAGGUUUGUGAUAGCAAGCUCAUAGUUAAGAGGGUUUACUCACACUAGGUAAGUAAAGUCUAAAGAGGUCAGAAGGUGACCAACAAUGCCCCAAAUAACUGAAUCCUGUAGAAAAGAGAAUUAUUCGAUCAACAGUUGGCAGUUAGUUAUGCUGAAGCUAUAUAGGUAGUAGUUGGCAGGAGAGAAGAGGGUAGUUUUGAAGCCUUGACAACUAAGGAGAGGUUAGGGUUCUCAAAUAAACCAAGUGUCAUUGUAUUCUUCUGAUCUUCUCCAAUCCAAUCAUUGAUGGAAUGGGUCCAUACUGAAUAAAAUAAUUCAUCCAUUUUGUUUUGCGAUAAUAACCAGUCUUAGAAUUUUGCUUUAGGCUGAAUUCCUCUCCAAAAUUUUGCUCAAAAGGUGAGGAUUGAUGAGAUCUUAACUCACCCUUUAUCAGUUAGUAUUCCUUAAUCUCUCUUAUGAGCCAAAUUUUAGCAACCGAUAUCAAAGCUCCAAUACUUUGAGCAUUGCACGGUGGCCAUAAGAAUGGAGGCCAUGGGGAGGAGGCUGCAAGAGUUGUGACCACCAUGAGAAGAGCAAGUGGGAGAAUGUUUGUUGAUGCAAUCACAAAUUUGUAGAGAUGAUGCAUACAUGAGAGUGAGCAAGAUAGAUUGGCAUUUUCAGUUGAGGGGUGCUAAAAGGAAGGAGAGUAUCAACUACCUUGGUAGCCAUGGAAGGAUGCCAUUUGUCUUGGUUUAAAUGUUGGAUUGUUGCAAUCUGAACAAAACUUGGGUGACAUUACCCAGUAGAACUACUGCAGCCGUUGCCCAAAUUAUAAGACUCUCUUCCAAGCCAGCCUUUACAGUUUGCUGUGUAUUUUAAUAGGCUGUUGGACUCUAAUGUUCCUAUUCCAACUUGUCUCCGUCUGAGUAGAAUGAAGAAACUUUGACGUCAGUUUUGUCACUUAUGAAGGGUGACCCUAACCUUUCAACCACGAUAAUAAUUUUCUCUGUCUAGAGAAGAAAGCGACUUAUUUUUCCCAUUCAUCCAUGAGGCAGUCAUACACACAUAAAUUCUAUCACAACCAAACCAAGAUUAACCCAGGUGCAAUCCAGUAGUGAUCCUCAAAGAUCAUUUACAUAUAUUUGAAGUUCAUUAUAUGCAUACAUGACAUAUAUUUGAAGUUCAUUAUAUGCAUACAUGACAUAUAUUUGAAGUUCAUUAUAUGCAUACAUGACAUUCAAUGGUCCAACAUAGAGUGGAACAAAUUGAUAUUGUAGAGACUCCAUCCUAUGACCUAAGUGGAUGGGAGUACAAUUGAAUACAGAUAGUUGAAUGAGUUUUGUGGUAUACUCUUUUCUCAUUUGUCACUGCCGCUUUCAAUGUUGCAUGAGCAUUACUACAAUAGUCACAUGUAUUACGGCCUUGGUUGAAGAUUCAUAAUCUGUUUGAAAUCAUUUUCAUUUUUUUUAAUCUCGGGAAGUAGUUGAACUUCAGAUUUCCAUAUUUGCAUUUGUAUAUCAUGUGAUGAUUAUAUUAUACUCUUGAUAAUGAUGUUCUGACAAGUUAUGGCACGUACUAGCUUAAACCUCUAUAUCUCAAUGUUGACCUGUAUAUCAUUAUUAUCUUUCUAUAGGCUGAAACUGAUAGGGAAGCAGGUGACAACAAGGGUGUCUCAGACAGGCAGAUUCGUUUGAAGAUUGUUUCACCAAAUGUUCUGGACAUGACACUUGUAGACCUCCCAGGCAUUACGAAGGUUCCUGUUGGUGACCAGCCUUCUGAUAUUGAAGCCCGGAUCAGAACAAUGAUCAUGUCAUAUAUUAAAGAGCCCUCCUGUCUUAUUCUAGCUGUCACACCAGCAAAUUCAGAUUUGGCUAAUUCAGAUGCUCUUCAAAUGGCAGGAGUGGCUGAUCCUGAGGGUAUGCUUUUGCUUCCAUACAUACCAAAAGCUUUGAAUAUUUUUUUGCAUCUCUUUAAUUGGUUAUAAUUGGUCAUAUGAUGCAGGUAAUAGAACGAUCGGUGUAAUCACAAAGGUUCAGUAUACUCUUCUACCAUUAUAAUUUAUGUUUAUCUUUGUGGAUUUUGUUAUAUGCUGUUGGUCGUUCUGACAGUGUUAGGCACAUUUUUUGCUAUGUAGUUGGAUAUCAUGGACAGAGGUACAGAUGCCCGUAAUCUGUUACAGGGAAAAGUUAUUCCCCUCCGACUUGGCUAUGUUGGUGUUGUAAACCGUAGUCAGGAGGUAAUGAUAUUAUCCUACUGUGAUGAAGGUGUUGUUUGACUAAUUUACCUAUUGCAUAUAUUCUAUUAGAUUUAGUUAGAUUUUGUCUCUACAAGCAAUAUGGAAGGACACUUUGCAAAUAAAGACGCAUAUGCUAAUUGCUUGAAUAGUGUUCAUGCCAAUGUGUUAUACUGAAAUAUGGGUUCUCUUGUUUUAUAAAACUAGGAUAUUCAAAUGAACCGGAGUAUAAAGGACGCUCUUGUCGCCGAAGAGAAAUUUUUUCGCAGUCGUCCUGUAAGGAAAUUCCUAUGCAUAGUUGUAUUCAAGCCUUUUGGCUUGUAUAUUCUCUAUACAGAUGUUUAUCUGUUUGUUAUUCACAGGUAUACAGCGGUCUAGCAGAUAGUUGUGGUAUACCUCAGCUAGCAAAAAAGUUAAACCAGGUACCAUUUGUCAUUUAAAACACAUUUUUUUAAACAUAUUUUACUGUUCAAAAUGCUGGAAUUAAUUAGGAUUUUCAGCAUUCCCUUAACCAUACAGAGCAAAACAUCCCCCUCUCUUCCCAUUUUUAAAUAUAUUUUACUGUUUAAAAUGCCGGAAUUAAUAUCUAGGUUUUUUUAACUUCAUACAAAGGUAUUCAAAAGCUUCUUCCUUAGUAUGAUUUAGUUAUCGCCCUUAGUAUAUGGCUAAGUUAUAACUGUCUCAGCAAAAUGCCAUAUCAACAUCGGAGAGGGAAAAUUGUUAAAAUGAUUCUUGGAAAAACACAGUAAACAGAAUUAAAUUCAUGCAAAUUUUGUAAAAGAGUAAACCAAUUUGAAUUUGAUUAAGAUUGUGGUUUCGUUUCUGGACUGAUGCAUGCCAUGUAUAACUGCCUGUCUAUCACUUUGCAGAUUCUAGCACAACAUAUCAAAGCUUUGCUACCUGGGCUGAGAGCACAUAUAAGCACUAACCUAGUUACUGUCGCAAAGGAGCAUGCAAGCUAUGGAGAAAUCACCGAGUCCAAGGCAUGUAUUUAUACUGGGAUCUGUUAUGCAUAUGUCCCUAUGACUUGCUAACUAAUUAUUAAUUAAAUUUACUUUAUAAUCAUUCUCCUUAUUUAUCAAGUGUCAUAUUUUUUACUUUGGCGGACUUUUGCCUCAUUUUAUCUAUAACUUUUAAUGGUUAAUCCUCAACAGGCUGGUCAGGGUGCUCUUCUCUUGAAUAUUCUUUCAAAAUAUUGCGAAGGUACCUAUCCUUACAAUCUGGUUUCUUUUCUCUUACUCGGCUUUUCCAUUUGGAAACUCAUAUUUUCUUUUCUCUUUCAAAGUAUUAAUUGGUUUUCACAUAUUGUUACCUUUCCUAAUUUAGUAAAUUCCAUCUCCAUUUUCUUUCUGAAAACAGCAUUCUCCUCCAUGGUUGACGGAAAGAAUGAAGAGAUGUCUACAUCUGAGUUAUCUGGUGGGGCGCGAAUUCAUUAUAUUUUCCAAUCCAUCUUUGUCAGGAGUUUAGAGGUAUAUAAUGCUGUAUUUACUUGUGAUAUAUCAGCAUUGUUAGACUUUACCCACUCUUAUGUCAUGCUUAAUGUAGAGAUGGAAAAUGGCUACAAUAACUAACCCAUUAGACCAUUUGUAACUGAUUCUAAAACGUCAACCAGCCUAUUUUCUUUAUUAUACCAAGUGGAUGUCUAACCUACCAACUUUUAUUUGCUUGAUGAAAAAUACAAACAUCCCUUUAUUUAUAUUUCAGGGAUGGAAAUGAGUGAUUUCUUUUCAAAUAACUUUUUUAUAGAAGUUAUUGAAAGAGAAAAUUAAAUUGAUUCUCCAUAUUGCAUUGAUUGAUUUCUGAUGCAAAUGAUUAGAUAUUUAUACACAUCAGAGAGGGAAUUUUCUAGAAGUGUCAUAAUAUGUACUGCACUCACAGUAAAAUGACGAACCAUAACAGCAUGCUAAAAUAGGAAGAUCUAGAAUAGUUGGAGGUAGGAUCAGAUGAUUUUCAUAUCUGUAUAUCAUUAUUCUACCUUCGAGCAUGGGUUAGUGCUAACUUUAGUGAGAGCAUCUGUGAGCUGAUCAUGAGCAGGCAAGUACAUGACUUAUCUAAGACUUGGCUAACCUGUUCCGUGAUAAAAUAAAGAUCACGUUCCAUGUGCUUUGUUCCGGAAUGAAGCACUCUAUUGUGACUCAGAAACUGCACUCUGAUUAUAUCACACUAAAGAAUAGGAAUAUGGCACCCAAUUUCUAACUCAGAAAGCAGAGACGGGAUCCAUGAAUUCAACAGGUGAUGGCCAUGGUGUAAAAAAAGUAUCAGCACUAGGAGGGGCAACAUCGUUCUGUUUUCGGAACCAAGAAACCAAGUUAUGCCCAAAGAAAAUGCAAAAACCAGAAGUGGGCCGUAUGUUAAUGGUUAUCAACAUCAGAGCCCGAUCUGCUUCACAAAAAAACUUGCAAACUCAAAAGAGCAUUAAGCUGCGGCAAUGACCCAUGAUCAGAAACUUGCAAACUCAAAAGAGCAUUAAGCUGCAGCACUGACCCAUGAUCAGUGCUACCUUUGAGGUACCUCGAAUCCUUUCACCAGCUUGUCAGUGUUCAAAAGUAGGUUCAGCCAUAAAUUAAAAGACCUUGUUGACAUGAAAGAACAUGCAAAUUCUCUCUAAGGUCAGGAAUGCUCGGUGUAGUUCUUUGUUAAGAGUCCCACAUCGGAUAGGACAUGACCUGACAAUGUGUUUAUAAGUGGAGGCAAUCCUCACCUCACAAGCCGGUUUUGUGGGGUUGUUUUAGGCCCAACCACGAUUUCUAAGAUGGUAUCAGAGCCUCUCCAAGAUCCAUUGGGCCACCUGCUAUUAGGUUUCCGCUAUCGGACCACCCACCAUUUAUGUCCACGAACCAAGCCCAAUAGUGCUGGUCGUGAGGGGGUGUGUUAAGAGUCCCACAUCGGACAUGACAUGACCUGACAAUGUGUUUAUAAGUGGAGGCAAUCCUCACCUCACAAGCCGGUUUUGUGGGGUUGUUUUAGGCCCAACCACGAUUUCUAAGAUGAGCACUCUUUUGGCUUGGUGCGUGAAUAGGUUUAGGCGGCCCUUGAAUUCGACAAGCUUUGAUACCAUGUUGAAAUUAUCUCAGCCUUAUCAUAUGUUCUUGCUCCUCUUUGCACAGGCGAAAAUAUCUCAGCUAAAUCCAACCUUUGACCACCAUCUUGCUUUAUAUCAAUUAAUGAAAUAAUUAGUUAAUAGAGCAAUCUGGGUUGUCCUUGACCUUGAAGACCCACCUGCGAUCUGUAGCAGUCGGGAUAGGAUGAAAUCAACCAAGGACCAACAUUUCAUUUUUAAUGUUAUUUUAUGAAGGAAAAACAACAACUUAGAUUAAUAUCAAAGGUAUUUUAAUGGAAAAGGAAAACAAUACUGUUAUAAGUUUAUAAUGUACUGGAAUUUUUGGCCAUAGGCAAAAUGAGUAUUUAAUGUUAUACAGAGUAGGAGUUGUGUUGCUUCUGAUUUAGCUACUUUGAGACUUAUGUAACUUGGCACUAUCUUGAAGGAGGUAGAUCCAUGUGAAGGCUUGACUGAUGAUGAUAUUCGUACUGCCAUACAAAAUGCAACUGGGCCAAGAUCAGCAUUGUUUGUACCUGAAGUGAGUCUCAUCACUUGUUUUUAAACAGAAAUUAACAUUUUGAAAAUUUCUCAUUUAAUUCCCACUCUUGAACAUGUAGAAAUAAUUCCUACUCUUGAACAUAUCUCUCUAUUUGCAACAGGUACCAUUUGAAGUCCUCGUGCGAAGGCAAAUAUCUCGUUUAUUGGAUCCAAGUCUUCAGUGUGCCAGGUUUAUAUAUGAUGAAUUAAUAAAGGUAGGGGGGCAGGGCUUUAUGGUUUGUCAUUUAUACCGUCUCAUCUCACCAAGUAUGCUCCUGAAUAAAUUUCCUUAUCUACAGAUGAGCCAUCGCUGUAUGGUGACUGAACUGCAGCGAUUCCCUUUCUUACGGAAACGUAUGGAUGAAGUUAUAGGGAACUUUUUACGGGAAGGCCUUGAACCAUCAGAGAACAUGAUUGCACAUAUCAUGGAAAUGGAGGUAUGCUCAUAAAUUGUUUGAACCUUUGAGGUGUAUGCUUAUAAUUGGUCCUAUUAGGUUUUUCAUUAGACCUAACUUAUCCUCACCAAAUCGACGGUAAGGCGAGACGUUACACUUCUUAUAAACUCAUGUCAGGCCUUAUCUCUAUUUAUUGUUAUGUGAGACUUGAGUUUUUCCCCCUCACCCCCCACACUACUGGAAAUUCAUACAUAUAGCAUUAAUUAUUUUAUAUAUAACAAUAAUUAUAAUUCAAAUAGAGGCCACUGUGGCUUGUGAUUUUUCCAAAUAGGUCCUUCUUCUAGCUACCUAAUACUACAAUCAUCACGUUAAUAAUAGUUUAUCAUAACUCAAUUAGGUUAUGGGGCCAAAACAUGCUAGCACUUGACAAAUCCUACAGAAAUUGUGGUGUAAGUUAUAACUGAAAUGAUUGUUUGGAACUAAAAGUCUUUUAUCGAUAUUACUUUCAACUAUAAUCAAUUAUGCAGUCUCAACCUUUCUUAUUUUAACAGAUCCUAGUUCCUCCAUUUCCUUAAACAUGAUCUCGCAUAACAAAAUGAAAUAAUUAUUGGCAAAGGAGGUAGUUGUGAACUGAUAUCUGUUGGUGGGUAUGCCAAUUUUUCAUUUCUUUGAAGUUAUCUCCUUUUUUUUUUUGGUGGUGAGAAUUUAUCUCCCUUUUAACUGAUGCAUAUUGGUUUUCAGAAUUUUUAACAAACCUGAAAUAUUUUUUACUUCAUUAUAUGACUGUUUGUUUUGGCAUUCUACCACUCUCCAACUGGCCAUUUGGUCAAAGGUUUUAUUUAUUUUGUAAAGCGUAUUUGUAAGUGCAUUGUUGUAAUUUUUUUUAAAACAGACAGGUUGUAUUUAGUUGGUUGAACAUUGCUUCGGUUGCUAUUCUGAAACUUAGAACAUGAGUGUUUAGUAUUCUCUCGACAUAAAAUGGAAAAACCGUCAAAUGUCAGUUGUGAUGGUCAGUUUAUUAGAUUGAAUCUUCAUUUCCAUCUCCAUAAUUUCUUAUUUAAAGUUUGAACAACUCAAUUUUGCAGAUGGACUACAUAAAUACUUCCCACCCAAAUUUUAUUGGUGGAAGUAAGGCAUUAGAAAUUGCAGUGCAACAGACCAAAUCUUCUAGGGCUGCCUUAUCACUUUCUAGGCCAAAGGUAUAGCUGGGCUCUAAUUCUAAAUAUGCCCUAUGUUUUGAGAUAUUAAAACUAAUCCGUGUUUUCUUUUCUUACGUUUUUGACUUUUAAAUUGAUCUCAAAUAGGAUGCUCUGGAAUCUGAAAAGGGAUCUGCCUCUGAAAGAACUGUGAAGUCUCGGGCUAUUCUUGCAAGACAGGCUAAUGGAGUAGUUGUUGAUCCGGUUUGUAAUCAUUUCUAUUAAGAUGUAUUCAUUUAUCUUUAUUUGUGGGAGUCAAAGUGGCACCAAAUUUUUAUGUUAUUCUUAUCUCUUCUAUUAUGGUAUUAAUAAAAAACAGGCUGUGCGUGCUGUAUCAGACGCUGAAAAAAUUGCAUCCUCUGGUAAUUUGUUUCUUCUAUUUAAUGUUUCACUUCAUUGCAUUUGUUUUUAGCAUUUGCUCGCUAUUGCUCUUAUUUUUUUGGUUGUCUAACCUUCAAUCAAAGUGAUUUUUACGUAUCAGCAAAUAUCAUUAUCGUUUUAUUAAGAUAUCGACAAUUUUGAAUGAUUGAUGUUGUUUUAGGAAACAUUGGUGGAUCAAGUUGGGGCAUCUCAUCCAUUUUUGGUGGAGGUGAUAAGUCUGCGAGGGAGAAUGUAGCUAGUAAGCAACAUGCUGAACCAUUUCAUAGUGUGGAAGUGGAACAAUCAUUCUCUAUGAUCCAUUUGACAGAGGUUUAUAUCUUGCUACACAUUUAUCAUCAUAUUUAUUGUUAUGUUUCACAGGUAUACGUUUUCAUAUACACAUUAUUUUUGUAGCCACCUACUAUCUUGAGGCCAUCUGAUAGUAAUUCAGAGACGGAAGCUGUCGAAAUUACGGUAACAAAGCUGCUUUUGAAAUCAUAUUACGACAUUGUCAGGAAAAACGUUGAAGAUUUUGUCCCCAAAGCAAUUAUGCACUUCUUGGUACUAAUAUUCUUCUUUUAAGUCUUCCAAAAUUACAAAUUAUUACAAUUAUAGAUCUAAAGUAAUUCGUAUCAUGCUGUAAUUUCCAUUGUUCUAUUUUGAUACAGCAUUCAGGAAAAUAUAUUCUUAUUUUUUGUAUUUCUUGAGAAAUGCUUGUGUCUUCACAAGUUGUGAAGACCAGACCAAUCAAUAACUAACAAGUUGUCAAGUAAAUAUGAAAUAGUUAUGCUCAUUCCCUAAAUCCCCCGUGCCCUGUCAUUGACGGUUUAGAAUUGCUUUUUGCGGCAGACGGGUGACAGGGUGUUAGUGCUUUUAUUAAAUUUGAAGAUAUAUUUUACUAUAUGCUUUGUGCUAUUUAUUUUGAAAUGGUUGACAAUUCUUGAAUUUUCACGCAUUCCAUAAAUCCUUACCAUUGUCUUUUACUGAUUCGUAUCAGGUAAACAACACCAAGAGAGAGCUACACAAUGUCUUCAUUAAAAAGUUAUAUAGGUAAAAUAUAGUAGUUAUGGCUUGUUAAUUCUAUGUGAUAUAUAUAUAUCAAGUUUCUCCAAUGUUUCUUGCUGAUUGUACUUUUUAUGAUAUAUACUCAAACCAGAGAUAACCUGUUUGAAGAGAUGUUGCAAGAACCUGAUGAGAUAGCCUCGAAAAGAAAGCGUUGUAGAGAACUUCUUCGAGCUUAUCAGCAAGCAUUUAAGGUGAAUAGUCAUAAUACUUCACUGAAAACGUCUUAUCUAAAGUUCUGUUAUUUUACGUGGUGUCUGGUUAUUCCGUGUUUAAGUUGUUUGGUCUGACAUUGUGGAAAUGUGUGGUCUUUGGUGCUCAUGAUCUCCGUGUUCUGUUACCUGUGUAUUUAAUAUGUAUGCAUUCAACCUAUAUUAAUGGUAAUUGAUUAGUUUAGUAUUCACGGUCUAUUUGUUCUGAUGUAUGUAUAUGUAUGUAUGUAAAUGUAGGCUUUCGUUAUAUUUGGUUCUCAUGUGGUGCACUUACCUAUGUUUCUGGUAAUUAGUCUGUUUGUCUGUGUAUGGGUUUCUGUUCAAAACAUUGGCUUUCUACAAGUCAUACGUCAAUGUGAUGGAUUGGGACAUAGUGUGUCACUUAUUUGGUAUAUGCAUGCUUGUGACUUGUCAACAACUCGGUGUUAUUGAGUCAAAUUCUUCUCGCUACUACUUCCAAAUGUAUAUAAUUGAAGAUUUAUUUAUUUUUGUUAGCUUUUUUACUUAAAAGUUGGUGGUAGGAUGACUGUAUUUUAUCGUUGUAGGACUUGGAGGAGCUGCCUAUGGAAGCGGAAACACUUGAAAGAGGAUACAGUUUACCUGAAACAACUGGUCUGCCUAAAAUUCACGGACUACCAACGUCAUCAAUGUAUUCAACAAAUAGUUCUGGAGAUUAUUAUGGAGCUUCUCCUAAGCACCCCAAGUCAAAAAGGUCUUCUCAUUCUGGGGAACUUCAAUCUCCAUUUUAUGCUAAUGCAGAUUCCAAUGGAAAUGGAAAACAAUCUGCAUCAGGCUUUUAUCCCACGCUUGAUACAUAAGCUAUAGCUAAACAAGUUUGUUGGUCCAAGUAGUUUAAUUCAAGGCAUGUUAUUCAUUUGAUUAAGUUCUGCCUUCCGGAGCUGGAAUGCAUGAACCUAAUGUUUUCUAACUAAGACGGUCUUGUAUGUCGGUCAAGGCUUUCUUAACCUAAGUUCACCUUUUGCUCUCAUAUAGCAUCGACAUUACUUACAAAGCUCCUGAAAGAAUAAUAGGAACAGGUGACCUUUCACAUUUUUGAGAAUCGGCUUUCUGUAUAUGACCUUUUUUUUCUUUGUUAUUAUUAGUUAGGAAUUGUCUUGGCAAUUAUGCACCUCCAAAGUUUGUUUGCAGUAGAUGUAGGACGUUAUUUGCUAUGUGAAAUGGCUUGACAUUGAUUUUUAAUAUAAAGAUGAGUCGUUGAUUGUUUGUUAUUGCAAUGUAAUGAAGUAAUUCGUUAACAUUGUUGUUUUGAUCUUUGCAAUGAUUGAGGUUGGUUUUUUUUCUUUUCAUUCUUACAAACGAGUUCUAUAGAAACAAAUCAUUUUUUUAAAAUAACAGAGAUUCAUUAGCCAAAACAAAUUUAUAGAUACACUAAAAGCAAAUGUUUUCUAAAAUUUGCCGAGGCUUGUGAAAAAAAAAUCAACCCGAAUAAAAUAUUUUUCAUAUUUUAUAAAAAUUCACUGAAUAUUGUAAAAAGAAAAUCACUGGAAAAAUGAAAUAUAAGUUUAAUUAUUUCCCCAUUUUAAAAAUUAAUUUUUGGUCCCCAUUUUCUUCACUACUUUUGGAAUUUUCAACUAAACUGGAAAAAAUAUGAAUUUUUGGUCCACGAAUUGAAAAUGAAUUUCCCCUCCUUAAAAAAAAAAAUGAAUUUCCCUGAUUUCAUAUUUUAAAGGAAAUAAAAAAUAGGGUUAAAUAUGUUUUUGGUCCCUAUAUUUUACCCUCUUUUAAAGAAUAAUCCCUACAUUUUAAUAAAUGUUUUUAAAAUCCCUACAUUUUAUCUCCGUUACCAUGUUUAGUCCCUACGGUCAAGUUUUUCACAGUGAGCUAACGGAAUGGUGAUGUUUCAAUAUUUUUUAUUUUUUAUUUUACUUUUUUUUUUUUUGACAAGUUUUCUUUUUACUUCUUAAAUGGGUUAGAUUGAAAAAUAUAGGUGAAAUACAAACCUUAUCCAUAUAUCAAAUCCUAAAUCCCCAAAUUCUGAAAUCAAUUUCCUUCUUUCUCGCGAAUCCCUUCAUCCCAUGACUUCUUUAUUGGAUUUUUAAAUUGUUGUUAACGAGGAAGAUGAGGAAGCCGGUGAUUUUUGAAUGAACCCUUACAAACUCAAUUGAGUGAAAUUGGAGAUGGAGUAUUAACUAUUAUGUGGGUUUUUUGUUCUUUCAUGUUGGCUAUAGUUUCUAGUGCCUUGAUCAAAGAAGCCGAAUGCAGAAGAUAAAAGAAGAGAAAUCAAUGAUGAUGGAGAAGAAUCAGAGAGGAGGAAAAAGUAAUUUGGGGAUUUAAAUCCCUAAAUUGAAGAAACAGUGUUUGGAACGGAACUAGAGAAAGAGAAUUGAAGAAGUUUUGAAGACCUCCAUUACCAGAUUCAAUCCUCUUUUGAUUUCAACCAUAAACUCCACUACCAAUUUCACUCAAUUCAUCAUAAAUAAAGAAAGAAAUAUUACAGAAAAUUGAAACAAAAAUUAACAACAAAUACAAAAUAUGGUAAGGAAAAUCAUGUGGGUUUGGUUAUGACAUUAAAGCUUAUGUUUUUUAAUGGGUUUGUAUUGGGUGGCUCUGGAAAGGGGAUGAAGUUGGUUGGAAUUGGAGUAAUGAUAAGAACUCAUCCUGCAGAGGGAGAAGAAGAUGUGGUUGUGAUGCAUUCUGUUAGUUAAAUUGACGGUAGGGACUAAACAUGGUAACAGAGAUAAAAU
rnacentral:lncRNA from 1 species